AGAGGUUGAUCAUGGCUCAGGAUGAACGCUAGCGGCAGGCCUAACACAUGCAAGUCGAACGGUAACAUAAGGUGCUUGCACUUUGAUGACGAGUGGCGCACGGGUGCGUAACGCGUAUACAAUCUACCUUUUACAGAGGGAUAGCCCAGAGAAAUUUGGAUUAACACCUCAUGGUAUCCAGACACCGCAUGGUGGUUUGGAUUAAAACUCCGGUGGUAAGAGAUGAGUAUGCGUUCUAUUAGCUAGUAGGUAGGGUAACGGCUUACCUAGGCAACGAUAGAUAGGGGCCCUGAGAGGGGGAUCCCCCACACUGGUACUGAGACACGGACCAGACUCCUACGGGAGGCAGCAGUGAGGAAUAUUGGACAAUGGGCGCAAGCCUGAUCCAGCCAUGCCGCGUGCAGGAAGACUGCCCUAUGGGUUGUAAACUGCUUUUAUACAGGAAGAAACGGCUUUACGUGUAGAGCUUUGACGGUACUGUAAGAAUAAGGAUCGGCUAACUCCGUGCCAGCAGCCGCGGUAAUACGGAGGAUCCAAGCGUUAUCCGGAAUCAUUGGGUUUAAAGGGUCCGUAGGUGGAUAAUUUAGUCAGAGGUGAAAUCCUGCAGCUCAACUGUAGAAUUGCCUUUGAUACUGGUUAUCUUGAGUUAUUAUGAAAGUAGUUAGAAUAUGUAGUGUAGCGGUGAAAAUGCAUAGAUAUUACAUAGAAAUACCAAUUUGCGAAGGCAGAUUUACUAAUAAAUCAACUGACACUGAUGGAACGAAAGCGUGGGGGAGCGAAACCAGGGAUUAGAUACCCCUGGUUAGUCCACGCCCGUAAACGAUGGGAUACUAGCCUGUUCGAAACU
rnacentral:rRNA from 1 species